UACAGAGGAGCCAAGCGUUGUCCGGAUUUACUGGGCGUAAAGGGCGCGUAGGCGGCCACUGCAAGUCAGUUGUGAAAUCUCCGGGCUUAACCCGGAAAGGUCAACUGAUACUGCAGGGCUAGAGUGCAGAAGGGGCAACUGGAAUUCUCGGUGUAGCGGUGAAAUGCGUAGAUAUCGAGAGGAACACCUGCGGCGAAGGCGGGUUGCUGGGCUGACACUGACGCUGAGGCGCGAAAGCCAGGGGAGCGAACGGG
rnacentral:rRNA from 1 species